UCAAAAACAUUGCCUUCUGUUCUUCUAUAGAAGGUAAAACCUGCCCAGUGAUUCACGAAUUAAACGGCCGCGGUACCCUGACCGUGCUAAGGUAGCAUAUAAUAUGCCCUUUAAUUGGGGGCUAGUAUGAACGGACAAACGAGAGCUUAACUGUCUCUAAGAUACACAAUAAAAUUGCCCCUUAGGUGAAGAGGCCUAAAUUCUAUUAAAAGACAAAAAGACCCUGUAGAGCUUCAUCAACUCUUUAAGCUAAAAAAAUUAUACCUACAUUAUUUUUACUUAUAAUUUGAUUUAACUGGGGCGGUUAGGGAGCACUUACCCUCCCUAUUAAAAAAGGACACAAACCUAUACUUCUUGAUCCUAUAAAGAUUACAGAAAAAGCUACCUCAGGGAUAACAGGCUUAUAUCUCCUAAGAGCACUUAUCGAAGGAGAAGUUUGGCACCUCGAUGUUGGCUUAGGGGACCCUAAGGGUAGCAGAAGCCCUUUAUGGCAGGUUUGUUCAACCUUUAAACCCCUACGUGAUCUGAGUUCAGACCGGA
rnacentral:rRNA from 1 species